AGCUCCAAUAGCGUAUACUAAAGUUGUUGCAGUUAAAAAGCUCGUAGUCGAAUUCGGACCCGACUUGCGGAACGGCCUCCAAGCCUUUAGCGAGCCGGGUUCAAUUUUGCCGCCAGAUGGUUUGCUUGUUAGUGAACCAACAAGGCGGCAUCUUUUACUGUGAACAAAAUAGAGUGUUCAUGGCAGGCCUUUUGUAGGGCUUAGAUACCUCAGCAUGGAAUAAUAGAAUAGGACUUCCGGUUCUAUUUUGUUGGUUUUUGGAGCCGAAGUAAUGAUUAAUAGGGAUAGUUGGGGGCACUCGUACUCCGUUGUCAGAGGUGAAAUUCUUGGAUUUACGGAAGACGAACAACUGCGAAAGCAUCUGCCAAGGAUGUUUUCAUUG
rnacentral:rRNA from 1 species